rnacentral:lncRNA from 1 species
GGGUCUACAGGAAAACAUUGCAUUUUCUACAGAGUAAUUUUGAUGGUGAAAGGUAUUUGUCCUCCAUUCACCAUGAAAAUUUUGUAAUAUCUUCUUCAUCUCUCUCUCAUUAAAGAUCCAAAAUUUAUACAAACUGUAGUUGUUUGUCUCAAUCUGUGCCAAGAACAUCUCACUUUGCCGUGCUUACCUAUGCGAUAACCACACAACCACAGUAGGCUUACACCUGUUUACAUCAUCCGUCAGGAUCCACAGAAGAAAUGAGUUAAUUCAAUAGAUCAGUUCAGUUGUGUAUAUAAUAUCAAACUGGGUUAAUCUCCAAAGUAAAAAAAAAAAUUAGUAUCCAUAUAUAAUAUUGAAUUAAAAAAUAACAUGGAUAAAUUUAAAAUAUAUUAAGGUUUUUUUGUUGCUUAUAGAAUAGCAUUAAAAUUCUUGUUUUGAAUGCAGCAGUUAUGCUUGAGAUUAUAUUUGUUUCUGAUUAUACUAUAUAAGGAUCCAAUUAAGAGUACACUCACCUGUGGACCGUCGCCAUGUUGAUGACAUUAGCCGUUUCAUCAUUGUUUUUUGAUAACUUGUUUUUUAUGGUUAAUUUGUUUAAUUAUUUAAAAUGCAUAACAAAGUGGAUAGAUGUGGUGUAUCGUGAAAAAGGAAAAUUAGUUCAGUUAGAUUUGUUUGAAAUAAUUUUUAUUUUCUUUAUCGUUACAUUUAUGCUAAUUAAAUUACACAUAAGAGUUG